rnacentral:rRNA from 1 species
GAUGAACGCUGGCGGCGUGCCUAAUACAUGCAAGUCGAGCGAACGGACGAGGAGCUUGCUCCUCUGACGUUAGCGGCGGACGGGUGAGUAACACGUGGAUAACCUACCUAUAAGACCGGGAUAACUUCGGGAAACCGGAGCUAAUACCGGAUAAUAUAUUGAACCGCAUGGUUCAAUAGUGGAAGACGGUUUUGCUGUCACUUAUAGAUGGAUCCGCGCCGCAUUAGCUAGUUGGUAAGGUAACGGCUUACCAAGGCAACGAUGCGUAGCCGACCUGAGAGGGUGAUCGGCCACACUGGAACUGAGACACGGUCCAGACUCCUACGGGAGGCAGCAGUAGGGAAUCUUCCGCAAUGGGCGAAAGCUUGACGGAGCAACGCCGCGUGAGUGAUGAAGGUCUUCGGAUCGUAAAACUCUGUUAUUAGGGAAGAACAAAUGUGUAAGUAACUAUGCACGUCUUGACGGUACCUAAUCAGAAAGCCACGGCUAACUACGUG